AGGGUUUGAUCCUGGCUCAGGACGAACGCUGGCGGCGCGCCUAACACAUGCAAGUCGAACGAGAGAUGAGGAGCUUGCUCUUCAAAUCGAGUGGCGAACGGGUGAGUAACGCGUGAGGAACCUGCCUCAAAGAGGGGGACAACAGUUGGAAACGACUGCUAAUACCGCAUAAGCGCAUAGCAUCGCAUGAUGCAGUGUGAAAAACUCCGGUGGUAUAAGAUGGACCCGCGUUGGAUUAGCUAGUUGGUGAGGUAACGGCCCACCAAGGCGACGAUCCAUAGCCGACCUGAGAGGGUGACCGGCCACAUUGGGACUGAGACACGGCCCAA
rnacentral:rRNA from 1 species